rnacentral:lncRNA from 1 species
CUGUUCAGUUCCAUGUGGAUAAUUUCUAGCCUUUGUAGCCUUCUGUUGUCUGAGGGUUCUUGUUAGAGCUCAGGAGAGGGUGCCCAGUUUAUCCAGCUGCUGUUAAACGAGCUCAGCUGUAUUUUGCACUGUCACUUUGUUGUCACCAAGCUCCCGUGGACUGCAGGAUCAGUAUUCUUUACAGAAUCCCACUAAAAAGGCACAGGUUAGUUGGUUAAAACAACACACUCAUUGUUUAUAAAAAUACAUGCCAUGCAUGUCUCCUAAAACCUCCCCUGGCUUAACCACACACCCAGAUGUGUCAGUGAGACCUGUCUGGACCCUGAGGGGUUAAUCUGUUCCCCACACUGUUGCCACCACUGUCUUUCCUGUCCUCACACCCAGGACCAGCAGAAACGCUGGGAGUCCAGGAGAGAUCAUCUCUCUUUUUUUUUUUUUUUAAUUUGUUUAUUUUUUAGUUGAAAGAUAAUUGCUUUACAGAAUUUUCUUUUCUAUCCAACCUCAACAUGAAUCAGCCAUAGGUACCCAUAUAUCUCCUCCCUUUUGAACCUCCCACCCCACUAGGGUGAUACAAGAUCAUCUCUUAGUGAAGACCAGGGGGUGCUUUACGGAAACCACUGUGAGCGAAUGACACUCGAACUGCGUCUGCCAGCUAUACGGGAAGAGGUAGGAGAUGACAAGACCACCAUCAAAUGUGAAACCUCGACCCCCGCCUUACCGCUGUCCCUUCGGCUGGGCCGCCUGCACACGGGGGCGCUGCACACAGCCACCCAUGAGGACCUCAGGGACGCCCACAACUCGACAGGCUCUCAGGACAGCCCCGGGAACAACCCCAGCAGCGGCACCAGCAGGCAGGACUCGCUGCACAAAGCCCCAAAGAAAAAGGGCAUCAAUUAAGUCCUCCAUCAGCCUCUUGUUUCGCAAGAAGGAAAAGGGCCGGCCUGAAGACCCCAACAAGGAGGCAUUAGGACCAGGCCCUCAUCUCGCUUGGCUUCAUCUCCUUGAAGACAGGGUAUGUUCCUGCCUCUUCAGCCACAAAUUUGUUGAGUCUUGUUUGUGCUGGGUGUGGGAUUUACGGGGGUAAGUAAAGCAGAUGUGAUCUGGAGCACAGUUAAGUGACAAGAGAGAAAAAGGAGCAGGUUAUUAAAUGUGAUCCCUGUUAUUAAUAUAUACAAUGCUGCGAUGGAUGGUGCAUUGAUUAUAUACAAGAUGCUGUGUGUGCCCCUUCCCAAGCAGGUGUUGCCCCCUCCAAAUUUACAGAGGAGGACACGGUGACGGUCACACGGUCAGGGAGUGGUGAGGGCAGGUUCACACCCACGCAGCAAGACCAGGCACUUUGCCAAACCCCAGCCACCUCUCUGGUGGAUGCCACCGGAAUGAGAUGGUUCUAUGGCAUGAUGAUUCAAUGGACAUGAGUUGGAGCAAAUUCCAGGAGAUACUGAAGGACAGGAAAGCCUGGAGUGCUGCAGUCCACGGAGUGGCAAAGAGUCGGACACACCUGAGUGGCUGAACUAAAACCUGAGUGUGUGCUAACCUGCUUCAGUCGUGUCUGACUCUGCGACCCCAGGGACUGUAGCCCACUAGCUCCUCUGUCCAUGGGAUUCUCAGGCGAGAAUACUGGAGUGGGUUGGCAUUUCCUUCUCCGGGGGAUCUUCCCAACCCAGGGAUCAAACCCGAGUCUCCUGCGCGUGGAUGCCUUGCCAUCUGAACCAGGACAUUGCUAAUUCCCUAGGCAAAAUACAAAGAAUAGAGCUCGUGUUCUACUAAAUGGAAAGAUGAUUUCAGAAACAGAAGCUGUCCUUUGUUGGUAUCUGUCAAUCUUUAUGUGGUUUUUGUUGAUUUUUACUAUUAAGGCUACUGGAACAAGGCAAGAGAGAAACCCCAGAAUUGAAAAGCAACUGGCAUUUUUGAAAGAAACAUGUGCAGGCGAAGCUCUCUUCCUUUUUGAGAGGUGGUUAAAUGCAAAAUCUUGAUUCAACACAUAAGACUUUUGUGAACUUUAUUUCAAAUCUCCAUGAUGAACCCCUAAGGCAUCCAGGAAGAAAGGACUAGAGGGGCAGACAGAAAGAGCAACCUUUCCCCUUGGAGCCAUCUCAACCAGCUGCUUAGUUCCUUCAUCUCAAGGACUACCAUCUGGGCUUCUCUGGUUUGUCUGAUUCUUGUUUCGGGACCGUUUCUAGUCACAAGGCUGUCAACAGAGGGGGUGGUGUGUGUGUGUGUGGGAAACCCUUCUCUCCAUUCCACAUGAGACCCAGUGGAUAAUCCAGGCCAGGCCGGGGCCGAAGGGCUUCAGGACCACCCAGUGACCGGGAGGGCAUGCG